AGCGAGCUUGCCUAGAUGAUUUUAGUGCUUGCACUAAAUGAAACUAGAUACAAGCGAGCGGCGGACGGGUGAGUAACACGUGGGUAACCUGCCCAAGAGACUGGGAUAACACCUGGAAACAGAUGCUAAUACCGGAUAACAACACUAGACGCAUGUCUAGAGUUUGAAAGAUGGUUCUGCUAUCACUCUUGGAUGGACCUGCGGUGCAUUAGCUAGUUGGUAAGGUAACGGCUUACCAAGGCAAUGAUGCAUAGCCGAGAUGAGAGACUGAUCGGCCACAUUGGGACUGAGACACGGCCCAAACUCCUACGGGAGGCAGCAGUAGGGAAUCUUCCACAAUGGACGAAAGUCUGAUGGAGCAACGCCGCGUGAGUGAAGAAGGGUUUCGGCUCGUAAAGCUCUGUUGGUAGUGAAGAAAGAUAGAGGUAGUAACUGGCCUUUAUUUGACGGUAAUUACUUAGAAAGUCACGGCUAACUACGUGCCAGCAGCCGCGGUAAUACGUAGGUGGCAAGCGUUGUCCGGAUUUAUUGGGCGUAAAGCGAGUGCAGGCGGUUCAAUAAGUCUGAUGUGAAAGCCUUCGGCUCAACCGGAGAAUUGCAUCAGAAACUGUUGAACUUGAGUGCAGAAGAGGAGAGUGGAACUCCAUGUGUAGCGGUGGAAUGCGUAGAUAUAUGGAAGAACACCAGUGGCGAAGGCGGCUCUCUGGUCUGCAACUGACGC
rnacentral:rRNA from 1 species